rnacentral:misc_RNA from 1 species
GAAAUGCGAUAAGUAAUGUGAAUUGCAGAAUUCAGUGAAUCAUCGAAUCUUUGAACGCACAUUGCGCCCCCUGGUAUUCCGGGGGGCAUGCCUGUUCGAGCGUCAUUUCACCACUCAAGCCUCGCUUGGUAUUGGGCGACGCGGUCCGCCGCGCGCCUCAAAUCGACCGGCUGGGUCUUCCAUCCCCUCAGCGUUGUGGAAACUAUUCGCUAAAGGGUGCCGCGGGAGGUCACGCCGCAAAACAACCCCAUUUCUAAGGUUGACCUCGGAUCAGGUAGGGAUACCCGCUGAACUUAAGC